rnacentral:lncRNA from 13 species
CACCAUCGCCGUACUGCGAGCCACUUGCGUCGUGUUACAUACUCUCUCGUACUACUUAUAUUAAAUCUGCUCAAUGAUCAUCGAUGAUUUAUAAUAGUCUUAUGAAGUGCCUCGGUGAUCGAACCGGCUGAGACACUCGCACGGAAUCCGCUGGGGGAUCCCGAUUCAAACCUUGGUCAAGGUACUUAACGACUGUGUUUUAAAGUCGGACAAACAUGUGACGUGCAGUUCGGGAGAACUUAAUUAUAAAUUUUUCGCGAGUGAAUUAAAUCAAAGGAGCCUUAUCAGAAUUUGAUCCGGACAACCUGAGAGGAGGAGGAGGCUUGGAAAAGGCAUCAGGCACCGGCGGAGCAACAUGCGAAUCAUCGUAGCGACGUUGCAGAUAUAACUCCGCUGCUGCGCAUCAGUGACGGU